rnacentral:rRNA from 1 species
AUACGUAGGGGGCGAGCGUUGUCCGGAAUGACUGGGCGUAAAGGGCGCGUAGGCGGCCGAUUAAGUCUGGAGUGAAAGUCCUGCUUUCAAGGUGGGAACUGCUUUGGAGACUGGUUGGCUUGAGUGCAGAAGAGGUAAGUGGAAUUCCCAGUGUAGCGGUGAAAUGCGUAGAGAUUGGGAGGAACACCAGUGGCGAAGGCGACUUACUGGGCUGUAACUGACGCUGAGGCGCGAAAGCGUGGGGAGCGAACAGGAUUAGAUACCCUGGUAGUCCACGCGGUAAACGAUGAAUGCUAGGUGUAGGGGGUAUCGACCCCUCCUGUGCCGGAGUAAACACAAUAAGCAUUCCGCCUGGGGAGUACGGCCGCAAGGUUGAAACUCAAAUGAAUUGACGGGG